GAAAAAAGCUAGGGGAGCCGUUUCGGCUGAGAAAACUUGGAUUUGACCCUUUCACCUGAUGUAGGUAAUCCUACCGUAGGGAAGCUGCUGCAAAUGAUU
rnacentral:ncRNA from 2 species